rnacentral:rRNA from 1 species
AGAGUUUGAUCCUGGCUCAGGAUGAACGCUGGCGGCGUGCUUAACACAUGCAAGUCGAACGAACCUUCGGGUUAGUGGCGGACGGGUGAGUAACGCGUGGGAAUCUGCCCUCAGGAGGGGGAUAACGGCUGGAAACGGCCGCUAAUACCCCAUAUGCCGAGAGGUGAAAUGAAUUUCGCCUGAGGAUGAGCCCGCGUCUGAUUAGCUUGUUGGUGAGGUAAUGGCUCACCAAGGCUUCGAUCAGUAGCUGGUCUGAGAGGAUGAUCAGCCACACUGGGACUGAGACACGGCCCAGACUCCUACGGGAGGCAGCAGUGGGGAAUUUUCCGCAAUGGGCGAAAGCCUGACGGAGCAACGCCGCGUGAGGGAUGAAGGCCUCUGGGCUGUAAACCUCUUUUCUCAAGGAAGAAGAUCUGACGGUACUUGAGGAAUAAGCCACGGCUAAUUCCGUGCCAGCAGCCGCGGUAAUACGGGAGUGGCAAGCGUUAUCCGGAAUUAUUGGGCGUAAAGCGUCCGCAGGCGGCCUUUCAAGUCUGCUGUUAAAACGUGGAGCUUAACUCCAUCAAGGCAGUGGAAACUGUUGGGCUUGAGUGUGGUAGGGGCAGAGGGAAUUCCCGGUGUAGCGGUGAAAUGCGUAGAUAUCGGGAAGAACACCAGUGGCGAAGGCGCUCUGCUGGGCCAUAACUGACGCUCAUGGACGAAAGCCAGGGGAGCGAAAGGGAUUAGAUACCCCUGUAGUCCUGGCCGUAAACGAUGAACACUAGGUGUCGGGGGAAUCGACCCCCUCGGUGUCGUAGCCAACGCGUUAAGUGUUCCGCCUGGGGAGUACGCACGCAAGUGUGAAACUCAAAGGAAUUGACGGGGGCCCGCACAAGCGGUGGAGUAUGUGGUUUAAUUCGAUGCAACGCGAAGAACCUUACCAGGGUUUGACAUCCUGCGAACCUCUAAGAAAUUUGAGGGUGCCUUCGGGAACGCAGUGACAGGUGGUGCAUGGCUGUCGUCAGCUCGUGUCGUGAGAUGUUGGGUUAAGUCCCGCAACGAGCGCAACCCACGUUUUUAGUUGCCAGCAUUCAGUUGGGCACUCUAGAAAGACCGCCGGUGAUAAACCGGAGGAAGGUGUGGAUGACGUCAAGUCAUCAUGCCCCUUACAUCCUGGGCUACACACGUACUACAAUGCUACGGACAAAGGGCAGCGAACUCGCGAGGGCAAGCAAAUCCCAUAAACCGUGGCUCAGUUCAGAUCGUAGGCUGCAACUCGCCUACGUGAAGCAGGAAUCGCUAGUAAUCGCAGGUCAGCAUACUGCGGUGAAUACGUUCCCGGGCCUUGUACACACCGCCCGUCACACCAUGGAAGUUGGCCAUGCCCGAAGUCGUUACUCCAACCCUUGUGGAGGAGGACGCCGAAGGUGGGGCUAAUGACUGGGGUGAAGUCGUAACAAGGUAGCCGUACCGGAAGGUGCGGCUG